GACGAACGCUGGCGGCGUGCCUAACACAUGCAAGUCGAACGGAAAGGCCCUGCUUUUGUGGGGUGCUCGAGUGGCGAACGGGUGAGUAACACGUGAGUAACCUGCCCUUGACUUUGGGAUAACUUCAGGAAACUGGGGCUAAUACCGGAUAGGAGCUCCUGCUGCAUGGUGGGGGUUGGAAAGUUUCGGCGGUUGGGGAUGGACUCGCGGCUUAUCAGCUUGCUGGUGGGGUAGUGGCUUACCAAGGCUUUGACGGGUAGCCGGCCUGAGAGGGUGACCGGCCACAUUGGGACUGAGAUACGGCCCAGACUCCUACGGGAGGCAGCGGUGGGGAAUAUUACAAAAUGGGAGGAAGCCUGAUGCAGCCACGCCGCGUGCGGGAUGACGGCCUUCGGGUUGUAAACCGCUUUCGCCUGUGACGAAGCGUGAGUGACGGUAAUGGGUAAAGAAGCACCGGCUAACUACGUG
rnacentral:rRNA from 1 species